rnacentral:rRNA from 1 species
UACGUAGGGUGCAAGCGUUAUCCGGAAUUAUUGGGCGUAAAGAGCUCGUAGGCGGCUUGUCGCGUCGGAUGUGAAAGCCCGGGGCUUAACUCCGGGUCUGCAUUCGAUACGGGCAGGCUAGAGUUCGGUAGGGGAGAUCGGAAUUCCUGGUGUAGCGGUGGAAUGCGCAGAUAUCAGGAGGAACACCGAUGGCGAAGGCAGCCCCCUGGGCUAACACUGACGCUCAGGCGCGAAAGCGUGGGGAGCAAACAGG